rnacentral:rRNA from 1 species
GACGAACGCUGGCGGCGUGCUUAACACAUGCAAGUCGAACGGAAAGGCCCUGCUUUUGUGGGGUGCUCGAGUGGCGAACGGGUGAGUAACACGUGAGUAACCUGCCCUUGACUUUGGGAUAACUUCAGGAAACUGGGGCUAAUACCGGAUAGGAGCUCCUGCUGCAUGGUGGGGGUUGGAAAGUUUCGGCGGUUGGGGAUGGACUCGCGGCUUAUCAGCUUGUUGGGGGGGUAGGGGCUUACCAAGGCUUUGACGGGUAGCCGGCCUGGGAGGGUGACCGGCCACAUUGGGACUGCGGUACGGCCCAGUCUCCUACGGGCGGCAGCAGUGGGGAGUAUUGCGCAAUGGGCGGAAGCCUGAUGCAGCAACGCCGCGUGCGUGAUGACGUCCUUCUGGUUGUAAACCGCUUUCGCCUGUGACGAAGCGUGAGUGACGGUAAUGGGUAAAGAAGCACCGGCUAACUACGUG